rnacentral:piRNA from 1 species
UCCGAAUGUCCGGAUCCUGGCCUUGGAC